GGGGUGUGACUGCGUACCUUUUGUAUAAUGGGUCAGCGACUUAUAUUCUGUAGCAAGGUUAACCGAAUAGGGGAGCCGAAGGGAAACCGAGUCUUAACUGGGCGUUAAGUUGCAGGGUAUAGACCCGAAACCCGGUGAUCUAGCCAUGGGCAGGUUGAAGGUUGGGUAACACUAACUGGAGGACCGAACCGACUAAUGUUGAAAAAUUAGCGGAUGACUUGUGGCUGGGGGUGAAAGGCCAAUCAAACCGGGAGAUAGCUGGUUCUCCCCGAAAGCUAUUUAGGUAGCGCCUCGUGAAUUCAUCUUCGGGGGUAGAGCACUGUUUCGGCUAGGGGGUCAUCCCGACUUACCAACCCGAUGCAAACUGCGAAUACCGAAGAAUGUUAUCACGGGAGACACACGGCGGGUGCUAACGUCCGUCGUGAAGAGGGAAACAACCCAGACCGCCAGCUAAGGUCCCAAAGUCAUGGUUAAGUGGGAAACGAUGUGGGAAGGCACAGACAGCCAGGAUGUUGGCUUAGAAGCAGCCAUCAUUUAAAGAAAGCGUAAUAGCUCACUGGUCGAGUCGGCCUGCGCGGAAGAUGUAACGGGGCUAAACCAUGCACCGAAGCUGCGGCAGCGACACUAUGUGUUGUUGGGUAGGGGAGCGUUCUGUAAGCCGUUGAAGGUGUACUGUGAGGUAUGCUGGAGGUAUCAGAAGUGCGAAUGCUGACAUAAGUAACGAUAAUGCGGGUGAAAAACCCGCACGCCGGAAGACCAAGGGUUCCUGUCCAACGUUAAUCGGGGCAGGGUGAGUCGACCCCUAAGGCGAGGCCGAAAGGCGUAGUCGAUGGGAAACAGGUUAAUAUUCCUGUACUUGGUGUUACUGCGAAGGGGGGACGGAGAAGGCUAUGUUAGCCGGGCGACGGUUGUCCCGGUUUAAGCAUGUAGGCGGAGGUUCCAGGUAAAUCCGGUACCUUAUUAACGCUGAGGUGUGAUGACGAGGCACUACGGUGCUGAAGUAACAAAUGCCCUGCUUCCAGGAAAAGCCUCUAAGCAUCAGGUAACACGAAAUCGUACCCCAAACCGACACAGGUGGUCAGGUAGAGAAUACCAAGGCGCUUGAGAGAACUCGGGUGAAGGAACUAGGCAAAAUGGUGCCGUAACUUCGGGAGAAGGCACGCUGAUAUGUAGGUGAAGUG
rnacentral:rRNA from 1 species